UACGAAGGGGGCUAGCGUUGCUCGGAAUUACUGGGCGUAAAGGGCGCGUAGGCGGACAGUUUAGUCAGAGGUGAAAGCCCAGGGCUCAACCUUGGAACUGCCUUUGAUACUGACUGUCUUGAGUUCGGGAGAGGUGAGUGGAAUGCCGAGUGUAGAGGUGGAAUUCGUAGAUAUUCGGCGGAACACCAGUGGCGAAGGCGACUCACUGGCCCGAUACUGACGCUGAGGCGCGAAAGCGUGGGGAGCAAACAGG
rnacentral:rRNA from 1 species